rnacentral:rRNA from 1 species
UACGUAGGGGGCAAGCGUUGUCCGGAAUCAUUGGGCGUAAAGCGCGUGUAGGCGGCCAGGUAAGUCCGUUCUGAAAGCCCGGGGCUCAACCCCGGGAGGCGGAUGGAUACUGCUUGGCUCGAGUCCGGAAGAGGCGAGUGGAAUUCCCGGUGUAGCGGUGAAAUGCGCAGAUAUCAGGAGGAACACCAAUAGCGAAGGCAGCUCGCUGGGACGUUACUGACACUGAGGCGCGAAAGCGUGGGGAGCGAACAGG